rnacentral:rRNA from 1 species
UACGGGAGGCAGCAGUGGGGAAUAUUGCACAAUGGGCGCAAGCCUGAUGCAGCCAUGCCGCGUGUAUGAAAAAGGCCUUCGGGUUGUAAAGUACUUUCAGUCGUGAGGAAGGUGUUAAGGUUAAUAACCUUAGCAAUUGACGUUAGCGACAGAAGAAGCACCGGCUAACUCCGUGCCAGCAGCCGCGGUAAUACGGAGGGUGCGAGCGUUAAUCGGAAUUACUGGGCGUAAAGGGCACGCAGGCGGUUAAUUAAGUUGGAUGUGAAAUCCCCGGGCUUAACCUGGGAAUGGCAUUCAAGACUGGUUAGCUAGAGUCUUGUAGAGGGGGGUAGAAUUCCAUGUGUAGCGGUGAAAUGCGUAGAGAUGUGGAGGAAUACCGGUGGCGAAGGCGGCCCCUGGACAAAGACUGACGCUCAUGUGCGAAAGCGUGGGGAGCAAAACGAGGGAUUAGAUACC